rnacentral:lncRNA from 1 species
AAUCAAACACAAACCGAGCCGAUUCCAGCAGGUGGCAGACUUCCUGCACAAACAGUGCAGAUAUAAUGCAGACGGUGGAGCCUCCAUCAACUGGGAGAAGAUCACACACACACCCAGCGGAGACGGAGAGACCGCCACACACACACCACACCGCUCUGGAAACUGGCAAAGGUGGUGCUCCUCCUCUGUCAUCACUCGAUGGCUUCAGGUCUUUUUCACCUUCAGAGCCAAGAUUACAACACAGAGUUGGAACUGGUGUCGAUGUUCCGCCACAUCAACGAGAACGAGAGUGGCUAUUACCUGAAUGAGAACAUAGAGUGCUUUCUGAGCGGGAAGAGUAAGUGACCUCACACACUACACACACACACACACAC